ACUUUUUUUGGGGUUUCUUUGCUGUUUUUUAAGGUUCUUGCACGUUUUUUAGAUGAUUUUUUGAGGUACCUCGAGGUUCUUUUGGACUUCCUCAACUUUUUUUGGGAGUUUCUGAAGGUUUUUGGCAUUUUUCAAUGUUUUUGGGGUUCCUGUGGAUUUUGGGGUGAUUUUCCGUGGAUUUUGGGGUGGAUUUUGGGGAGGUUCCCCUGGAUUUUGGGUUCCCACGGAUUUUGGGGUGAAUUCCAUGGAUUUUGGGGUGGAUUCCAUGGAUUUUGGGGUCGUUUUCCUGGAUUGUGGGGUGGUUCCUGUGGAUUUUGGGGCGGUUUUACUUGAUUUCGAGUUGCCAUGAAUUUUGGGGUUAAUUCUGUGGAUUUUGGGUGGAUUUCUGUGGAUUUUGGGUUCCUUUGGAUUUAGAGGUGGUUCCCCUGAAUUUUGGGCUGAAUUCCGCGGAUUUUGGGGUGGAUUUUGGGCCGUUCUCAUGGAUUUUAAAUCCUUUGGAGUUUUGGGCUGAAUUCCGGUGGUUUUGGGGUAAUUUUUGUGGAUUUUUGGGGCAGUUCCCCCGAAUUUUGUGUUUCCGUGAAUUUCGGGGUGGCUCCCCUGAAUUUUGGGCUGAAUUCCGCGGAUUUUGGGGUGGAUUUUGGGGCGUUUUCGUGGAUUUUGGGUCCUUUGGAGUUUUGGGGUGAAUUGCGGCGUUUUUGGGUCUGCAGGGUUCCGCUUCACGUCGGUGCGGGGGGACAAGGUGGACAUCCUGUACAACAACAUCAAGCACGCCGUGUUCCAGCCCUGCGACGGCGAGAUGAUCAUCGUGCUGCACUUCCACCUCAAGAACGCGAUCAUGUUCGGCAAGAAGCGGCACACGGACGUGCAGUUCUACACCGAGGUGGGCGAGAUCACCACGGACUUGGGCAAACACCAGCACAUGCACGACCGCGACGACCUCUACGCCGAGCAGAUGGAGCGGGAGAUGCGGCACAAGCUGAAAACGGCCUUCAAGAACUUCAUCGAGAAGGUCGAGGCGCUGACCAAGGAGGAGCUCGAGUUCGAGGUGCCCUUCCGGGAGCUGGGGUGAGUUUGGGCCGAAAAACGGCGAAAACGGGAAAAAAGGGGAAAAACGGUGAAAAAAUGGUGAAAAAAUUGGGAAAAAAUGUGACAAAAUUGGGAAAAAAUGGGGAAAAACUAGGAAGAAAUGGGGGGGAAAAUGGGAGGGAAAAUGAGGGACAAAAGAGAAAAAAAUGGUGCAAAAAUGGGGGGAAAAAAGGGGAAAAUGGGAAAAACUGGGAUUUUGGGGCCGUUUUUGGGGAUUUUGGGGCCGUUCUGAGGGAUUUUGGAUCACUCCAGUUUUUGGGUUUGUUCCCAGGGAUUUUGGGGCCUUUCUUGGGGAUUUUGAGGCUGUUCCUGUAAAUUUUGGGGCCGUUCUUUGGGCUUUUGGCUCAUUACCAAUUUUGGGUUAAAUCCUGGCAAAUUUGGUGCCAUUUUUGGGGAUUUUGGGGCUUUUACUGGUGAUUUUGGGUCACUCUGGAUUUUGGGUU
rnacentral:lncRNA from 1 species